rnacentral:rRNA from 1 species
UACGGGGGGGGCAAGCGUUGUUCGGAAUUACUGGGCGUAAAGGGCUCGUAGGCGGCCAACUAAGUCAGACGUGAAAUCCCUCGGCUUAACCGGGGAACUGCAUCUGAUACUGGAUGGCUUGAGAUUGGGAGAGGGAUGCGGAAUUCCAGGUGUAGCGGUGAAAUGCGUAGAUAUUCGGAGGAACACCAGUGGCGAAGGCGGCUUACUGGUCCAUUACUGACGCUGAGGUGCGAAAGCGUGGGGAGCAAACAGG